UACGUAGGGGGCAAGCGUUGUCCGGAAUCAUUGGGCGUAAAGAGCGCGUAGGCGGCCCGGUAAGUCCGCUGUGAAAGUCAAGGGCUCAACCCUUGAAUGCCGGUGGAUACUGUCGGGCUAGAGUCCGGAAGAGGCGAGUGGAAUUCCUGGUUUAGCGGUGAAAUGCGCAGAUAUCAGGAGGAACACCAAUGGCGAAGGCAGCUCGCUGGGACGGUACUGACGCUGAGGCGCGAAAGCGUGGGGAGCAAACAGG
rnacentral:rRNA from 1 species